AUGAUGUCGCUGGGCGAGCAGUGGCAGAAUAGCACCACAUCGUCCGCGUACAGCGACAUAGUGGGAAUGGAGCGCCUCGGGUGUAGCCGUGCCAUGACUCCCAUGUCAAUAGCGCGCUUGAUGAGCCUGCCCAAGAUGUCAACGGCGAGCACAAAUAGUUGUGGUGACACAGGGUCACCCUGCCGGAGCCCCUUGCAGUGCCAGAUAGGAGGCCCUGGCUCACCGUUCAUCAGUAUGCGUGUGCUUGCCGAAGAUAGGAGGAUGGCGAUCCACUCCAUAAAUCUAUUUCCGAAGCCAUAUUGGCGCAGGGUUUCCAUGAGGAAGGGCCAGGCUAGGGAGUCGAAGGCCCGCGCAAGGUCAAGCUUGAGCAAGACUCGCGGGGCACCCAACUGGUGGAGAAGCGGCCGAUUGCUUGACUAG
rnacentral:rRNA from 1 species